rnacentral:rRNA from 1 species
GACGAACCGUCCAAACGUUAUUCGGAUUCACUGGGCUUAAAGGGUGCGUAGGCGGCUCAGAAAGUAGGGUGUGAAAGCCCUCGGCUCAACCGAGGAAUUGCGCCCUAAACUGCUGGGCUUGAGGAACGCAGAGGUAAGCGGAACUUACGGUGGAGCGGUGAAAUGCGUUGAUAUCGUAAGGAACACCAGGAGCGAAAGCGGCUUACUGGGCGUUUUCUGACGCUGAUGCACGAAAGCUAGGGGAGCGAACGGG